GACGAACGCUGGCGGCGUGCUUAACACAUGCAAGUCGAACGGUGAAGGGGAGCUUGCUCCCUGGAUCAGUGGCGAACGGGUGAGUAACACGUGGGCAACCUGCCCCUGACUUCGGGAUAACGCUUCGAAAGAGGUGCUAAUACCGGAUAUGAACCCUGAGGGCAUCCUCGGGGUUGGAAAGUUUUUCGGUCAGGGAUGGGCCCGCGGCCUAUCAGCUUGUUGGUGAGGUAGUGGCUCACCAAGGCGUCGACGGGUAGCCGGCCUGAGAGGGCGACCGGCCACACUGGGACUGAGACACGGCCAGACUCCUACGGGAGGCAGCAGUGGGGAAUAUUGCGCAAUGGGCGAAAGCCUGACGCAGCAACGCCGCGUGAGGGAUGAAGGCCUUCGGGUUGUAAACCUCUUUCAGCAGGGAAGAAGCGAAAGUGACGGUACCUGCAGAAGAAGCACCGGCUAACUACGUGCCAGCAGCCGCCGCGG
rnacentral:rRNA from 1 species